AGAGUUUGAUCAUGGCUCAGAACGAACGCUGGCGGCAGGCUUAACACAUGCAAGUCGAACGCAUCCUUCGGGGUGAGUGGCAGACGGGUGAGUAACGCGUGGGAACGUGCCCUUCAGUUCGGAAUAACCCAGGGAAACUUGGGCUAAUACCGGAUACGUGCGAGAGCAGAAAGAUUUAUCGCUGAAGGAUCGGCCCGCGUCUGAUUAGCUAGUUGGUAGGGUAAUGGCCUACCAAGGCGACGAUCAGUAGCUGGUCUGAGAGGAUGAUCAGCCACAUUGGGACUGAGACACGGCCCAAACUCCUACGGGAGGCAGCAGUGGGGAAUAUUGGACAAUGGGCGCAAGCCUGAUCCAGCCAUGCCGCGUGAGUGAUGAAGGCCUUAGGGUUGUAAAGCUCUUUCGGCGGGGACGAUAAUGACGGUACCCGCAGAAGAAGCCCCGGCUAACUUCGUGCCAGCAGCCGCGGUAAUACGAAGGGGGCUAGCGUUGUUCGGAAUCACUGGGCGUAAAGGGCGCGUAGGCGGCUUUGUAAGUCGGGGGUGAAAGCCUGUGGCUCAACCACAGAAUUGCCUUCGAUACUGCAUGGCUUGAGACCGGAAGAGGUAAGUGGAACUGCGAGUGUAGAGGUGAAAUUCGUAGAUAUUCGCAAGAACACCAGUGGCGAAGGCGGCUUACUGGUCCGGUUCUGACGCUGAGGCGCGAAAGCGUGGGGAGCAAACAGGAUUAGAUACCCCGGUAGUCC
rnacentral:rRNA from 2 species